AGAAAAGAAAGUGCAGGGACAUUUUCAUCCGCUACAGCCAAAGGAGAGCGUUGCCUACAACACUGAAGGAUAAUCACGAGAGGGAGAGGGAGCGCGAGCGAGAGAAGGUUUAAUUAAUUCAUGCAGGAGGGGAGGGAUGUUUCUGCCGCUGACUGAGCUGGUUCCAGCACUGCCUGUAGCAUUUUGUUUGUGAGCCCAUCCAUGCUGUGAACGUGACAGCACUCAGAUCAGGCAGGAUUUGACGUACACCAUCACCUGAACAAGCAGAGAUUACAUCAGUUGAAAGGUCAUCAGUUGCUCCUCCGUGUGCACCUGGCACCUCCACGCCGCAGAGCUACUCCAAUCCCAGCCCCUACCGGUGGCGCAGCACGCCUCGCCUUCACACUGCCCUUGUCCUUGUGUCCCUCCUUCGUUUCACAACUCGACGUCGGGGACGCCGAUUCACCAUCUGUUACUAAGAAAAGGUGACAUAAUCAUGCCAGAUCGUACCAUGUCCUUCUCAUAUCUCACCUGAGGACGAUCAGUGUGGUCCCCCAGGCUCGCCGCGAGCACUCUGACCUGCGAGAUGGGAGACUGGGUCUGUCUGAGCCCAGCCGAAUUCUCCCAGCUGCAGCAGUACAGUGAGUAUUCCUCCAAGAAGCUUAAAGAUGUCCUGGAAGAGUUUCAUGGAAAUGGUGUCCUCUCCAAGUACAACCCUGAACAGCCUAUCGAUUAUGAGGGCUUCCAGCUGUUCAUGACGACCUAUCUGGAGAAUGACAUCCCUGAGGAACUUUGCAAACACCUCUUCACCUCCUUCAAGAGCAAGAAUGGUGGAGGCAGUUCCCCUGACGCUUCUCGAUCUGGAGCAGGCAUGCUAGAGCCCAAGUCCAUUGAUGCAGGCAUCACUAUACAGACCGAAGUGGCCUGUGCACCCAUAACAGGUAUGAAUGGGAAGAGUAUUUUGAGUGCUAUGAGCCGACAUACACCAGAGAACUCUGCAGGGAUCACUCAAGGCUCAGGGGCCACCACAUCACCCUGCUCCUCCCGCUCCUCCUCACAACGCUCAGGCACAGGGGGCCACACACCCAGAGGCCCCCGCCGGUCGCCUGGCACGCAGCCCAAUCCCCCAGCGAGCAGCAGCAGCAGCAAUGCUUUGGCUCUCUCCAAGACUACCAACUCCCCGCGCCUCUCCCCAGAGCGUAAUCAAUCUGAAAAUCGUACAUCUCUCCGGAGGAGUCCUUCUCCACAAAAAGGAUCUCCGUCACCCCAAGUGGUCUUCCUUAAAGACAUUGUGUGCUACUUGUCCCUGCUGGAGAGGGGAACGCCAGAGGACAAGCUUGAGUUCAUGUUCAGGCUCUACGACACAGAUGGCAAUGGUCUGCUGGACAGUUCAGAGCUCGACCGCAUCAUAAACCAGAUGGUCCAUGUAGCUGAGUACCUAGAAUGGGACUCUACAGAACUACGACCAAUUCUGAAGGAGAUGAUGGAGGAGAUUGAUUAUGACCGGGAUGGAACGGUCACAUUAGAGGAAUGGAUCAGAGGAGGAAUGACCACCAUACCACUCCUGGUACUGCUGGGAAUGGAGACGAAUGUACAGGAAGAUGGGCAGCAUGUAUGGAGACUGAAGCAUUUCAACAAGCCAGCAUACUGUAAUUACUGCCACACAAUGUUGUUAGGAGUACGAAAACAGGGCCUUUGCUGCUCACUAUGCAAGUACACAGUCCAUGAGCGCUGUGUGUCCAAAGACAUUGCUCCUUGCAUUAGCACCUACGCCAAGUCCCGCAGACACACCAAUGCUAUGCAGCACGUUUGGAUGGAGGGCAACUCCCCAACAAAAUGUGACAAAUGUCACCGCAGUAUCAAGUGCUAUCAAGGCCUAACAGGCCUUCACUGUGUUUGGUGUCAAAUCACUCUCCAUAACAAGUGUGCGUCUAAUGUGAAGCCUGAGUGUGACGGUGGACCAUUAAAAGAUCACACACUCUUACCGUCGUACAUCUGCCCUGUUGUUCUGGACCGUCAUUCUGCUGUCAAAAGAGGUGAAGGAGAGUCAUCCCCCAGUACCAGCCCUGAGGACACCAGCCAGUGUUUCAAGUUCACCGGUGAUGGUCAGGCACUGCAGAUCGCCCCUCUGCCUGGAACGCACCCCCUCCUUGUGCUGGUUAAUCCUAAAAGUGGUGGUCGGCAGGGUGAGAGGGUGCUGCGGAAAUUCCAGUACCUGCUUAACCCCAGACAGGUGUACAGUCUGGAUCGAGGAGGACCCAUGGUGGGGCUCAACUUUUUUCGAGACGUGCCCAAUUUCCGCGUGCUGGCCUGCGGAGGUGAUGGAUCAGUGGGGUGGAUUUUGGACUGCAUUGAUAAGGCCAAUUUUGCUCGGCAUCCGCCUGUUGCGAUCCUGCCACUGGGUACCGGGAAUGACCUCGCUCGCUGUCUGCGCUGGGGUGGAGGCUAUGAAGGAGGCAGUCUGGUCAAAUUCCUCAGGGAUAUCGAGCACAGCACUGAAGUGCAGCUUGACCGCUGGAACAUCGACAUUGUCCCUGACGAUAAAGAGGAGAAGGGCGACCCUGUGCCCUACAGCAUAGUGAACAACUACUUCUCCAUUGGAGUGGAUGCAUCCAUAGCACAUCGCUUCCACUUGAUGAGGGAGAAACAUCCAGAGAAGUUUAACAGCAGGAUGAAAAACAAGUUGUGGUACUUUGAAUUUGGCACCACAGAGACCAUCUCAGCCACGUGUAAAAAGCUGAACGAAUCUAUUGAGGUGGAGUGUGAUGGCAUCAUUUUGGAUCUCAGCAGCACGUCUCUGGAGGGUAUCGCUGUACUCAAUAUUCCCAGCAUGCACGGGGGCUCCAACCUGUGGGGCGAGUCCAAGAAAAGACUGAAUUACAAUCGCAUGAGUAAGAAAGUGCCAGAGAGAAUGCCUGGCAGCACUGUCACCGAUGCCAAGGAGCUCAAGUUUUGUGUGCAAGAUCUGAGUGAUCAGCUCCUGGAGGUGGUGGGUUUGGAGGGAGCCAUCGAGAUGGGUCAGAUCUACACAGGUCUCAAGAGCGCUGGGCGGCGCCUUGCACAGUGUUCUAGUGUCACCAUCAGGACGUCCCGGCUCCUGCCCAUGCAGAUUGAUGGGGAACCGUGGAUGCAGCCUCCAUGCACGAUACGGACCACGCAUAAGAACCAAGUUCCCAUGCUGCUGGGACCACCACAGAAAACAUUCUUCUUCUUCAAAAAGCGCAACAGAAGUCGGGACUAGAUGUGGGACUCCAAAAUUCAACCACUCUUCUACAAUCAUACAAACACACUCAAACAUCUCCACCUUCCUCAGCUAAUUCUUCGUCUUUGGCAGGUGGCAGCCAAAGAGAAGAAACCUUUCAAUCACUUUUGUGAGACAAAUCAAUACAAAUACAACACUGUAAUGGGCCUCUAAUGGACUCCAUCUCCCAACACAUUCAGAUGUUCAUAGGCUGAACCAGUUGAACGGACCCUCUCUGAGUGUCAUGACCACUUCCUGUGUCUUAUCAUCCAGAACGUCUUAUCACAGGCUUGUGACCUGUAAGCUAUGACUCAAUUCCAAGUAAAUCCCCCCUACCAGUAGGCCACUGCCUUGGGAUCACACUGUGUGCCCUCUCCCUCCUCUUGAGACGGCUCAUCAGAAGAUACUGCCAAUUUCAAAGAGAAAAAGAGAGGGAGGACCAGAAGUGAAGAGACUCGCCCAAUAAAGGGAAAAGAAGUGUGUUCAAGUGAAAAGAGAAGGAGAGCAAGAGACACCCUGGCAUGAUAAUGUUCUUCGCAUGAGAGUUGGUGGUGCACAUAUGGACGUCACUGGGCCCGGGAACAAACUUUCCUCCUAAAGGAGCUCACUGAAUUAUACAUCAGUGCAUGCAAAGCACUCAUUCCAGUGCCUCUCCAAGGCCCUGCAACAUGCCAUCACUAAAGAGAUGAAGCAGCAUACUCAUCCAUUAUGAUAAGAUUAUAAGAUGUUUAUGGGGGUCUGCUGAUAGAGAUAGGUCAGACUGGCCUGAAUGAGAUGAAACAUUUCAGCUUCUGUUGUUUGCUCUGGGCAGUUCUGGUGUUCACCCUCAGGCCACAAAACUGACCAGUGCAAGUUUUGUUACAGUUAGCUGGAUGUUCAUUUAUUCCCAUACUGCCCUCUAAAACAACAAUGCUAGCGUUCAGUAUGGAGAAUGGACCUAAGGUCUUUCAAAAAUGCAAGGAGUUUAGAGAAUCAGUGGACUAAAAGAGUUUGACCAAUUAGCAUUUAUAUCAUAGCAAUGUGGCAAUCUGUGCAAUUAUUUGAUGAUUUUAUCUUAUUUUUUAAGCCAAAUCAAAAUAGCGUGCCAUUAAGUUUGGGAGUAGAUUCUGUGUGAUUUUCCCUGUCGAUUAAAAACAUCUUACACCAGCCUAUGCUGGCUAUGCUGGUCUGCUGGCUAGUUUCAGAGGGUUUUGGGCACUUUUCAGCUGGUCAGGCUGGGAGACUUGCAGGUUACCCAGCUAGACCAGCUGAAGACCAUCGUAAUGGCCUUUUCACACCAACAUGAACGUACGGCAUGGAAAUUCGGUCCAGUUUUCGCAUGUGAUUUCUUUGUCUGUUCAGACCAAUGUGAAAAAUGGAAGAAUGACUGAAUGAAAAAUGCAACUUAACUUUAUGACAGUAGGUGGCGCUUACAGAAAAUGAGUUUUAUGUAACAGCAGCGACUCAGGGCAUGUGACCAAAAAGUGUGAAUCGUAUUGGUUGGCUGGUUUUCUUGUGUUGGACAUUUCUGUAAAAAAAAAAAAUCUGUGUGAAUGUUUGUCUAAAUCUGAGCAGAAGCAUUAAUAGCUGUUCAUUCAAAUUAAAAUGUUUAUCACACUGAAUUUUCGUCUUGGUGUGAACAGGCCUUACACCAGCUAAGACCAUCAAACCAGUUUAGGCUGUUUUAAGCAUUUUAUCAGCAAAGUACGAUUUUAAUAAUUUUUUUAUAUAACAAUAAGGACAUAAUGGUAAAACUUUAAGACAAGGAUCAAUUUGUUAACAUUUGUUAAUGUAUUAGAUGUCGACAGCUAACACUGAAAAUAUAUUUACAGCCUUUAAUAAUCUAGAUUAACCUUAAUUUAUAAACUCAAUUGCUUGGUCCAAGUUCAAUUCCACCCCAUAAAUUUAUGCUAUUGUUCAUUGUCAAUUCAUUUAUAUUCAUAUUAUGCUAAACAAUAUUCAUUAAUACAACCUGAAAAUCUAUGAAUAUAUUGCAUACAUUAUUAACAUUGACCAGUAGUAAUAAAUCCUGUAAAAUAUUAAUUGUUCAUUGAUGCAUUAACCAAUGUUAACAAAUUAAAUAUUAUAUUUUGUUACAGAAAUAAUAGUUUAAGGAAAAAUAUGCUACACAUUUCUGAAAAAAACCAAAGUCUCCAUUCAGAGGUGGGCUCAAAUCGAGCCAGCGCUGGUAUUAACACUGAAUCCUCUGGUCCCCGUCUGUCACAACAAGCUACUGCAGUGGGGUUUGAUUUACUGCUGCAUGGACGGAGCCUAAAUUUAGCUUCCUAUUUCAGGGCAUGAAACACUAUUCCUAAUUGCAGCAUGAAAACAUCAGCUCGCAAUUUCAGGUCGACAGUCAAACGGGUUUGAAAGAGGCCUAGAUGAAUGCAGAAAACAGAAGUUACUUACAGUUGCCGUCAACAACAGUGACUUCAAGAUCCAAAAAGUGAGCUUUGUAAUCUUUUAGCCCUUCGGAGAAGGCCCGUAAAGAGUAUUUAAUUUAAAGAUGCCCACUAUGUAUCAGUAUUUGUAUAAUCCAAGAGCCUUGUGUGCAUAUAUAUGAAUGUGUUUAAAGGUAUAUCUUAAUAUAGUAUCAGAGAUUAGCAGUGAUACCUAAUGGGUCACAUGAUUGACUGUAGCCAUCAGGCAGAUGUUCCUGAUAUAGAUCAACAUGCAGUGAUCAUCAGAUGCUUUCGCAGUGUGCCAUAGGGUGUUGGAACUGUAUAUACAUUUCACCAAUACACAGAACUGGGGUCAGAUUGACUUAAAGUUCAUGUGUCGGCUUUGGAAACUGAGCGCAGGUUAAUGUUCCCUUUAAAGAACACUGAACCGCAGAAGCUACGCCAGUGUCCUAAAAAUGCUAAUCUCUCCAUAUGACCACAGAACAGACCUCCACAGAACCAUCACCUCCAGCCAGUGGGUCGGUUUAUCAUAGAAGUUAAUGGUGGAUUUGGCUAAAAGAGCCCCAUUGUUUCUGUGGUCAUUGGACAGAUGGUUUAUCCUGCGUGACAGUCUGGCGGUUUGGUUACAAGUGCAUGUUUACAACUACUUUUCAUUUUACAGUUUAGAAUGAUUUUAAACAGUCAUGUACAUAUAGAAAUUGUUUAUAUUUUCUCUAAAGUUUAACCACCGCAUGCCUAUUGAAACAAAGAAGACAAAGAUGUCUGCUUGAAGAGAGACCACGCGGAUUGUUGCUACUUUAUUAGUUUCACAUGAUUAUAUUUUUGGACCCUAUCCAGGCCCCUUGUAUCUAUCUACUGAACUUUUCCUCAAUCAGUUAGUAGCAUGUUCAUUGUACAAGUACCUCUGUGGAUGUUCUUUGUUCUGUUUUGUAUUUUGUAGACUGAGGUUUGGCACCAAUGUAUGCUGAUCGAUGGGUAACUGAGGAAUGUCACGUUUGGGAAACGUUUCAUUUUCAUUCACGUCACGUUUCAUUUCUAAAUCGUACUGAUGUCACCUCCUGUGUCAUUUCUGUGAAUAACUGAUAGCCUUAACUUACCAAUACAAAAUAGCAUUUUGCCUGGAGCAAAGACUUUUGCAAUACAAGUCACUAAGAAAAGAACCCAAAUGAAGGAACAAAA